rnacentral:ncRNA from 2 species
UACAUUUGCUGCGUUAUUGGUUUUCAGAUUUAACGUCUGGAAUUAAUAGGGAAUCAGGUGAAAAACCUGAACUGUACCCGCAACUGUAAGCUCUGUAAGUUUUUACAUUUUGCCACUGAUUAACCAUCGGGAAGGCGUAAAAAUAAGGAGAAAGUCAGGAGACCUGCCACUAACAGAAGUGUUUC